rnacentral:rRNA from 1 species
ACGCCUACACAUGCAAGUCGAACGAAGUAGCAAUACUUAGUGGCAGACGGGUGAGUAACAUGUAGGUAUCUGCCCUUUGGCCUGGAAUAACACGAGGAAACUUGUGCUAAUACCGGAUAAGUCUUUACGGAGAAAGCUUUAUGCACCAUUGGAUGAGCCUGCACUUGAUUAGUUUGUUGGUGGGGUAAUGGCCUACCAAGACUGUGAUCAAUAGCUGAUUUGAGAGGAUGAUCAGCCACAUUGGGACUGAGACACGGCCCAAACUCCUACGGGAGGCAGCAGUGGGGAAUCUUGCACAAUGGAGGAAACUCUGAUGCAGCGAUGCCGCGUGAGUGAAGAAGGCCCUUGGGUUGUAAAGCUCUUUCGUCGGGGAAGAAAAUGACUGUACCCGAAUAAGAAGGUCCGGC